rnacentral:rRNA from 1 species
UACGUAGGGCGCAAGCGUUGUCCGGAAUUAUUGGGCGUAAAGAGCUCGUAGGUGGUUGUUCGCGUCUGCCGUGAAAACCCAUGGCUUAACUGUGGGCUUGCGGUGGAUACUGGCCGACUUGAGGUAGGUAGGGGAGAAUGGAAUUCCCGGUGUAGCGGUGAAAUGCGCAGAUAUCGGGAGGAACACCGGUGGCGGAGGCGGUUCUGUGGGCCUUACCUGACGCUGAGGAGCGAAAGCGUGGGGAGCGAACAGG